UGAGGAAUAUUGGUCAAUGAGCGCAAGCCUGAACCAGCCAUCCCGCGUGCAGGAAGACGGCCCUAUGGGUUGUAAACUGCUUUUCCAGGGAGAGAAACCUGCGCACGUGUUGCGCAAUUGACGGUACCCUGGGAAUAAGCAUCGGCUAACUCCGUGCCAGCAGCCGCGGUAAUACGGAGGAUGCAAGCGUUAUCCGGAUUCAUCGGGUUUAAAGGGUGCGCAGGCGGACUAUUAAGUCAGUGGUGAAAGCCUGCAGCUUAACUGCAGAACUGCCAUUGAUACUGAUAGUCUUGAGUUUGGUUAAGGUAGGCGGAAUGUGUAAUGUAGCGGUGAAAUGCUUAGAUAUUACACAGAACACCAAUUGCGUAGGCAGCUUACUGAGCCGACACUGACGCUGAGGCACGAAAGCGUGGGGAUCGAACAG
rnacentral:rRNA from 1 species